UACGAAGGGGGGCUAGCGUUGCUCGGAUUGACUGGGCGUAAAGGGCGCGUAGGCGGUUCGUACAGUCAGACGUGAAAUUCCUGGGCUCAACCUGGGGGCUGCGUUUGAUACGUGCGGACUUGAGUGCGGAAGAGGGUCGUGGAAUUCCCAGUGUAGAGGUGAAAUUCGUAGAUAUUGGGAAGAACACCGGUGGCGAAGGCGGUUCUCUGGGACGGUACUGACGCUGAGACGCGAAAGCGUGGGGAGCGAACAGG
rnacentral:rRNA from 1 species